GAUGAACGCUGGCGGCGUGCCUAACACAUGCAAGUCGAGCGAACAGACGAGGAGCUUGCUCCUCUGACGUUAGCGGCGGACGGGUGAGUAACACGUGGAUAACCUACCUAUAAGACUGGGAUAACUUCGGGAAACCGGAGCUAAUACCGGAUAAUAUAUUGAACCGCAUGGUUCAAUAGGGAAAGACGGUUUUGCUGUCACUUAUAGAUGGAUCCGCGCCGCAUUAGCUAGUUGGUAAGGUAACGGCUUACCAAGGCAACGAUGCGUAGCCGAGCGGAGAGGGUGAUCGGCCGCACUGGAACUGAGACACGCUCCAGGCUCCUACGGGAGGCAGCAGUAGGGAAUCUUACGCAAUGGGCGAAAGCCUGACGGAGCAGCGCCGCGUGAGUGAUGAAGGUCUUCGGAGCGUAAAACUCUGUUAUUGGGGAAGAACAAAUGUGUGAGUAACUAUGCACGUCUUGACGGUACCUGAUCAGAAAGCCACGGCUAACUACGUG
rnacentral:rRNA from 1 species